AGAGUUUGAUCCUGGCUCAGAGCGAACGCUGGCGGCAGGCUUAACACAUGCAAGUCGAUCGGGGCGUAGCAAUACGUCAGCGGCAGACAGGUGAGUAACGCGUGGGAACAUACCUUUUGGUUCGGAACAACACAGGGAAACUUGUGCUAAUACCGGAUAAGCCCUUACGGGGAAAGAUUUAUCGCCGAAAGAUUGGCCCGCGUCUGAUUAGCUAGUUGGUGAGGUAAUGGCUCACCAAGGCGACGAUCAGUAGCUGGUCUGAGAGGAUGAUCAGCCACAUUGGGACUGAGACACGGCCCAAACUCCUACGGGAGGCAGCAGUGGGGAAUAUUGGACAAUGGGCGCAAGCCUGAUCCAGCCAUGCCGCGUGAGUGAUGAAGGCCCUAGGGUUGUAAAGCUCUUUUGUGCGGGAAGAUAAUGACGGUACCGCAAGAAUAAGCCCCGGCUAACUUCGUGCCAGCAGCCGCGGUAAUACGAAGGGGGCUAGCGUUGCUCGGAAUCACUGGGCGUAAAGGGCGUGUAGGCGGGAAGGAAAGUCAGAUGUGAAAUCCCCAGGCUCAACCUGGGAACUGCAUUUGAAACUCCCUUUCUUGAGUACCGGAGAGGAAAGUGGAAUUCCUGGUGUAGAGGUGAAAUUCGUAGAUAUCAGGAGGAACACCAGUGGCGAAGGCGGCUUUCUGGACGGUAACUGACGCUGAGACGCGAAAGCGUGGGGAGCAAACAGGAUUAGAUACCCUGGUAGUCCACGCUGUAAACGAUGAGUGCUAGGUGUCGUGGGUAUUGACCCCCGCGGUGCCGUAGCUAACGCAUUAAGCACUCCGCCUGGGAAGUACGGUCGCAAGACUAAAACUCAAAGGAAUUGACGG
rnacentral:rRNA from 1 species